rnacentral:rRNA from 1 species
GAUGAACGCUAGCGACAGGCUUAACACAUGCAAGUCGAGGGGCAGCAUAAAAGUAGCAAUACUUUGGUGGCGACCGGCGCACGGGUGAGUAACGCGUAUGCAACCUACCUAUCAGAGGGGAAUAACCCGGCGAAAGUCGGACUGAUACCGCAUAAAACAGGGGCACCGCAUGGUGAUAUUUGUUAAAGAAAUUCGCUGAUAGAUGGGCAUGCGUUCCAUUAGGUAGUUGGUGAGGUAACGGCUCACCAAGCCGACGAUGGAUAGGGGAACUGAGAGGUUGGUGCCCCACACUGGUACUGAGACACGGACCAGACUCCUACUGGAGGCAGCAGUGAGGAAUAUUGGUCAAUGGGCGGGAGCCUGAACCAGCCAAGUCGCGUGAAGGAAGAAGGAUCUAUGGUUCGUAAACUUCUUUUGCAGGGGAAUAAAGUGCAGGACGUGUCCUGUUUUGUAUGUACCCUGAGAAUAAGGAUCGGCUAACUCCGUGCCAGCCGCCGCCGUAAUAC